rnacentral:rRNA from 1 species
UGAGUACGAGAGGCUACGGCCUCGAAGCAGUCUAUGUCAUACUUCCAAGAAAAGCUUGCAAUGUCAUAGACAAAUAAUGCCUGUACCAUAACCUACACAGGUGGGUAGGUAGAGUAUACUAAGGGGCGCGAGAUAACUCUCUCUAAGGAACUCGGCAAAAUGACUCCGUAACUUCGGGAGAAGGAGUGCCUUAUUUAUAAGGUUGCAAUAACAAGAUCCAAGCAACUGUUUACCAAAAACACAGGUCUCCGCUAAGUCGUAAGACGAUGUAUGGGGGCUGACGCCUGCCCAGUGCCAGAAGGUUAAAGAAGUUGGUUAGCAUUAGCGAAGCUGAUAACUGAAGCCCUGGUGAACGGCGGCCGUAACAAUAACGGUCCUAAGGUAGCGAAAUUCCUUGUCGGGUAAGUUCCGACCCGCACGAAAGGCGUAAUGAUUUGGAUACUGUCUCGGAGAGAGGCUCGGUGAAAUAGACUUGUCUGUGAAGAUGCGGACUACCUGCACCUGGACAGAAAGACCCUAUGAAGCUUUACUGUAACUUGAAAUUGAAAUUGGACUUUAUUUGCGCAGUAUAGGUGGGAGGCGUUGAGAGUAUUCUUGCGGGAAUAUUGGAGCCAUCAGUGAGAUACCACUCUUGUAAUGUUAGAUUUCUAACUUUGGAUCAUUAUCUGGUCAAAGGACAGUUUCAGGCGGGCAGUUUGACUGGGGCGGUCGCCUCCCAAACGGUAACGGAGGCGUACAAAGGUUUCCUCUGAACGGGUAGAAAUCGUAUCUAGAGUGUAAAGGCAUAAGGAAGCUUGACUGUGAGGCCUACAAGUCGAGCAGGGACGAAAGUCGGUCUUAGUGAUCUGACGGUGCUGAGUGGAAAGGCCGUCACUCAACGGAUAAAAGUUACUCUAAGGAUAACAGGCUGAUCUCCCCCAAGAGUUCACAUCGACGGGGAGGUUUGGCACCUCGAUGUCGGCUCAUCGCAUCCUGGGGCGGUAGUACGUCCCAAGGGUUGGGCUGUUCGCCCAUGAAAGCGGUACGCGAGCUGGGUUCAGAACGUCGUGAGACAGUUCGGUCCAUAUCCGGCGUAGGCGUUAGAAUAUUGAGAGGAGCCUUCUCUAGUACGAGAGGACCGAGAAGGACAUACCUCUGGUGUACCAGUUAUCGUGCCAACGGUAAACGCUGGGUAGCUAUGUAUGAAGAGGAUAACCGCUGAAAGCAUCUAAGUGGGAAGCCCACCUCAAGAUAAGUAUUCUCA